ACAUUAAUGCGCACAUCUGUGGUGCAAAUGUGCGCAAAUGACACUAUACUAUUAAUCACCUUCCGUGGACCAGCUCUUUUGCAAAUCAUUGUUUUUUACUUUACUUAAUAUUGACAUGUAUUGCAUGAAAGUCUGCCAUGUGUGGUGAAAAACAUUGAAAUUUUACAAAGCAUAUGGCUGAUAGGAACAAUUUACAGCUACAAUAGUACAGUAAUGCGUUACAUUAUGUAAGUGAGAGACUUUACCAGUGUGACACUGCAGUUUUCAAAUUUCACCAACGAAACUACUUCUAAAACCCCGCAUUUAUACUUACAUUUGCUACAGGAGGAAAAGAGAAACCAUUUUCAUUGUUAAAAUCGAUACAUGGUGCAGACGGUGGAUUUAAAAUGUCAUAAAAACUUUUAUUUUCAAAUUCCGAAGCGAAGCCAAGAACGGCCAUGUUGGAAAAUACCCUUGAACCCAGGCCUCGCACACAGAAUGAAAGACUCUGGAACAAUGAUCCUUCUCAAAUUUGAUAAAUUCAACAACUAAUCUACGCAUUUUCAAACGCAAUGCAUGGCGGUCUG